AGCUUGGAUAAUUUGACCAAAGUUCCACAGCUGCACUCAGUGUGAGAAAGAGGAGGAUGGGGACUGAGCUUGAGAGGAGACCUGUCUGAGCAGGGAAGCACAGGAAGGAUAUACAGAGGCUGGAAGAAAAAGUUAAAUAACACUAUAAGGGAACAAGCAGACAAAUCUAGAAUAUGGAACAUUCUACAAGAUAAUUGAAUCGGUUCUUCAAGACCUCAAAGCAAAAUUUUCUUUUAAAAAGGGUGGGCCUCUUCCAAUCAAUUGAAGACCUUAAAAGCAAUAGCUGCGGCUCCCCAAUGAAGAAGAAAUUUUGCUUCAAGAUUGCAACAUAGAAAUCCUGUCUGAGUUUCCAGCCUGCCCCUGUGGAAUUUUGAGUCAAGACUGCAACAUCAACUCUUCCCUGGAUUUCCAGACUGCCGGCAUGCCCUACAGAUUUCAGACUUACUAAUCCCCACACCUGUGGUCAGGGUCUCAAAUGGAAUUCCAACCAGAAAGAGCAGAGGGGAUACAACGUUUCUGCUCCAGCUAAUGGGCUCUCCUUGAGGCUGGACUGAAAGCAGCUGAGGAUCCUUCCAUGUAGAAACAAGGGGAAGAUGGGUUUAAUGA